rnacentral:lncRNA from 1 species
AGUAGUGUGAGUGUGAAGGACUGGAUUCUUGUUGCUUUCUCCUGAUGCCCAUUCCAGGGUUUCCCCAGGCAACUAGGAAGACCAUCCAUGGUGAGGCCUGCAAUCUAGGCUUCUUGCUGAUCAGUCAGCAAUGGAAACCUGUUGGUCAGUGAGGAAACCAAGGCACAGAGCGGGUGAGUAACUUGGCCAAGUUACUUUUUAUGGGUUAAUAAGUGCAGGAGCCAGGAUACAAACCCCGACAGCCUUUUCCAGAAGCUGCGCUUUGAACUACUAGGCUACAGGGCUGUCUCCUAAAAGUCAAAGUAGAUCAGAUACUGUAGCUGAAUCCCGUUCCCCUUCUCCCUCCUGUAGUAGCUUACAACGCAUGACAGCUUCUUUGACUUGACGAAAGCCACCAUCAGGGCCCCUGCCAUCGACGUAGUACAUGAAUCGGAGCUCAGGUGGGUAGGCAGCUCUGCUGAGGCCCGACAGCAGGGGGAUGGUGCAGCCCUCGAAGACAAGGGAUGCUGAGGAUUUGUGAUCAUAUAUCAAAGUUCAAAAAAGAAGUAGAACUUAAACCAUAGCAGCAAAGGAGGCAGAGCAAAGGGUUGGAAUGGGUACAGGAACCAGAGAAGACAUCUGAAAAAGCAACACAGCUAAAUGUGAAGCCACCAAAACGGCACUGGACGUUGACUAUGAGUAUGUAUAUGAGUUUCUUUUCUUUC